AGGUCAGGUUCAUAUAGCUGUAACAAGGACAAAAACAAAAACCAAAAUUAAAUACUCUCCAUUUUCUGCUACAGUACAGUACAGGAAGAAGAAGAAGCUAGAGGUGCAUAAAAGCUUAGCAUUUAUGCCUAGAUCGGGGUGGAGGAUAUUGAGUCACGAGUCUUCUGUUUACCUAAAACAUGCAUGCCUCGUGCCUCUUCUUCUCUCCUUCUCAAUCAAUCUCAAGCUUCUGGUUGUUCCUUCUUAUAUUGAGGUCUUUUCCAACAAAGGCCAAACCUUAUUCAGUGCCUCCGUGGCUUGGUUCAUCUUUCCUCUCCUUUCUGGUAUGUUCGGUUUGAGAGCUUGAAGCUGCCAGCAUGAUCUGGUACCACUAGAGACUAAACCUAGCUAGCUAGCUUUAUAAAUUCUAUAUUCAGGGUUAAUUUUGUGCUUAUAUCAUAUAUGUCCCUUUUGAGGUUUCGAUAUAAGAACUGCACCAAAUAGAUCGGCAAAAGAUCAGCUUUAUAUAGAAAUAGUUAUUAUUCUCGCACCACCCAGUUAUUAGAAUAGGAUCUGGUCGGUGUUGAUUUUGUGCUUAAGUCGGAUGGUUUCAGGUUUAGAUAUAAGCUAGAACGCCGAAUAGAUUUGCAGAAGAUCCAGCUUUUCAUGUAAAUUGGACCAAAAUUUUGAUGGGGGUAUUAUAGUUUUUGAUAGAUCUUGGUUUAUUUCAUGUUCUGGGAGUUCUGGAGAAACGGGCCGGUUUGGAGUCAAUUGAUUCAGUUAAUCACUACAUAAUUAUAUAAGGUUACUCUAGCUAUACCAGGUCAUCUUGCAGCUUCAAACACUCACUCACCAACAGUAUAAAACUCGAUCUAGCUCUCAAUUGAUAUGGAGGUCUUAUGGUGAUUGUCUGCUCGUCCCAAGGAGAUAGGCUUGGUUUCUGCAGGGUUCCCAUCCCUUAUAUAAUUGAAGCUCUAACACAGUGCACUGGUCUGGUACUCUUACUAGUUUAUUGAGAAGAUAGUAACAAGAUCAAUGAACGUGGUCACUCAGAUUCUCAGAAAACACGUUCUCUGAGAAAUUGCUUUAUAGCAGCUAGCUAGCUGCAAAGUGCAGCCUACAGACUGUCGUACACGGCAAACCCAGAAAACAUAUUACUAAUUAACCAGCUGGAUCGUCUCUGAGAAAAGGGUUGCAUGCCUUAACUGGUUGAUGUGUGAUUAUAUAUGGUGCUGCAUGCUAAUUAUUAUCGCUGGUUGUUUAUAGCUAGGGUCAAGAAUCGAGUUUAAUUUCACCGAUCAUCAGAUAACUAACAAAUAUGAAUGUACUACUAAUAAAAAAAAAAUUAGCUCGAGUCGAACUUCCAAGUCUUAUCUUUUCCUUAACAACUAAAGCUAGUUUUGACAUGCCCCAAUCAAACUGCUCAAGUGUAAUGCUAUCAAUCAUUGACCUUGCUUUGGAGUAAUAUUCUACGAGUUAGGUGUUUAACUUUCGUUCAUUAUUUGAUUAUAUAGUAAUUAGUAAUUAUAAGUAUAUAUGCUUGACCCAUUUACUUUUGGAUUGAGAUUUUCAUUUUAUUUUAUAAAUUAAAGCUCACAUGAUCACAUCAUUAGUAUACAUUCAAUCAGCAUCUAUCUACUUUGGUUUUAGGAGCUUAUCAAAGGACAAAUCAAAUCAUGUUUUGAACUACCACAUGUCGCAUGCAUGCUAUCCUGAUAUAUCUAUAAUAAAUUAAACUUCUAUAUUAUAAUAUUGUGGCUACAAAUUAAGAUGAUAAAAAUUAGGCAUAAAUUUUUAUCAUAAUCAAUUUGUUACAUCGGGUUUCAUCUCAGUGUCGAUCAAGUUGUUAUUCCAUAUUUUGUUUAAGUCAAUUUGCUAUUUUAAGUUUUCAAAAUUAACUAAUUGAUACGCUAGCUAUGUUUUAUUUUAGUCAAUUUGCUAUCAUUCCGUCAUAUUUACUACUCGAUCUAGAUUUUCAAAAUUAACCAAUUAGCUCAUAUAAAUUUCUAAAAUUAACCAUUUGCUACUCUAGAUUUUUACAAUUAUUCAACGUUUGGAUCUUAGUAGGAUGAAAGCGUAGUAAAUUGGCUACUUUUAAAAAUAUAGGGUAGCAAAUUCCUGCCACUUAGGGUAGUAAAUUGACGGAAAUAAAACCUAGGAUAGCAAAUUGGUAUUAUAAUAAAAUUUAUGGUAGCAAGUUGACUAUUAAGCCUAAAAACUACUUAUUAGGAUUCCUAGUCUUAAUGUACAAGGAUGUUGUAUAAAAAAUUAAAAAAAAAUUGAAAAAAAAAGAGAGUCAAAAACCCCUUGAGUUUGAGAGCGGAGGUGGGGGGUAGAAGCACAGUCCAGGCAUUGCAUUUUGGAGAACGAGGACGGGGUUUAAUUCCUCUUAGGGGCUUCGUUCUUGUGGUUUGUUUUUGCAGAGGAGGGGUAACGAUCUUGUACGUCUUCUUUCUCGUAUUUGGUGCGGUGUCUGGCAUAGGCGUGUAGCGUUGCAGAGGCAGGUA